rnacentral:rRNA from 1 species
AACGAACGCUGGCGGCAUGCCUAACACAUGCAAGUCGAACGAGACCUUCGGGUCUAGUGGCGCACGGGUGCGUAACGCGUGGGAACCUGCCCUUAGGUUCGGAAUAACUCCCCGAAAGGGGUGCUAAUACCGGAUAAUGUCUUCGGACCAAAGAUUUAUCGCCUUUGGAUGGGCCCGCGUUGGAUUAGCUAGUUGGUAGGGUAAUAGCCUACCAAGGCGACGAUCCAUAGCUGGUCUGAGAGGAUGGUCAGCCACACUGGGACAGAGACACGGCCCAGACUCCUACGGGAGGCAGCAGUGGGGAAUAUGGGACGAUGGGCGAGAGCCUGAUCCAGCAAGGCCGCGUGAGUGAUGAAGGCCUUAGGGUUGUAAAGCUCUUUUACCCGGGAUGAUAAUGACAGUACCGGGAGAAUAAGCGCCGGCUAACUCCGU